UACGUAGGGUGCAAGCGUUGUCCGGAAUUAUGGUGCGUAAAGAGCUUGUAGGCGGUUUGUCGCGUCUGCUGUGAAAUUUCGGGGCUCAACCCCGAACUUGCAGUGGGUACGGGCAGACUAGAGUGUGGUAGGGGAGACUGGAAUUCCUGGUGUAGCGGUGAAAUGCGCAGAUAUCAGGAGGAACACCGGUGGCGAAGGCGGGUCUCUGGGCCGUAACUGACGCUGAGGAGCGAAAGCGUGGGGAGCGAACAGG
rnacentral:rRNA from 1 species